AACGAACGCUGGCGGCGUGCUUAACACAUGCAAGUCGAGCGACUGCGCCCUUUUCGGAGGGUGUAAGGAGCGGCGAACGGGUGAGUAACACGUGAGCAACCUACCCUUGGCUUUGGGAUAACCCUCGGAAACGGGGGCUAAUACCGAAUGCACACUCCCGGGCGCAUGUCCGGCUGUGGAAAGUUUUUCGGCCAGGGAUGGGCUCGCGGCCUAUCAGCUUGUUGGUGGGGUAACGGCCUACCAAGGCGACGACGGGUAGCCGGCCUGAGAGGGCAACCGGCCACACUGGGACUGAGACACGGCCCAGACUCCUACGGGAGGCAGCAGUGGGGAAUAUUGCACAAUGGGCGAAAGCCUGAUGCAGCGACGCCGCGUGAGGGAAGACGGCCUUCGGGUUGUAAACCUCUUUCAGCCCCGACGAAGGGAAACUGACGGUAGGGGCAGAAGAAGCGCCGGCCAACUACGUGCCAGCAGCCGCGGUAACAC
rnacentral:rRNA from 1 species